ensembl:lncRNA
CUUUAAUCCCAGCACUCGGGAGGCAGAGGCAGGUGGAUCUCUGUGAGUUUGAGGCCAUCCUGGUCUACAGAGUGGGUGCCAGGACAGCCUCCAAAGCCACAGAGAAACCCUGUCUUGGGGAAAAAACAAACAAACACAACUACUCGGGAGCUAGAAAGAUGGCUCAGUGGUAAGAAACACUUGCUGCUAUUAUGAAAGCAGAGAUCAGUUUCCAGCACCAAUAUUGGAUGACUCACAGUCAUCCACAGCUCCAGCUCCAAGGGACCUGAUGCAUGUAGUCUCCUGGGCUCCACAGACAGUGACAUACACCUACACACACACACACACACACACACACACACACACACACACACACACACAGUAAAAAAAUUCACCAUUCUGGCAUUAGGAGUGUAGCUCGGCUGGCAGAGUGCUUGCUUUACAUGCAGAAUCCCUGAAUUUUUCUUUAGUAUGCGGUGAUGGUGCAGGCUUGUAAUCCUAGUGCCCGGGAGAUAGAAGUUCAAGGUCAUCAUCAGCUACAUGGCAAGUUUGAGGCCAGCCUGAACUACCUGGUGGUUUGUUUCAAAGCCAAAAAUCAAACAACAAAAACAAUACCCUCUGGAGCCUGGGUGAAAGCAGUAACUAGACCAUUUCAGUGGUCCAAGUAGGAGGUGAUAACACUCUAGUAAACUAGAGUGUCAGGGUUGGAUAUGGUGAGAGAUGUCAAGUUCUGGUACAUUCUGAAGGAAUAGCAGUCAUUGCUGAUAGACUGGAUGUGGUUUUCAAAAGAAGAUAAAAAAGGAAGUAUGUGGCCAGGGCCUACCAAAUUUGCUGCUUUAGGGCAACCACAUUCUGCUGAUAGGCCCGUGCUAAGGAACUCGUGCCGAAAUGCCACCAAUGAAGCCAACGGCACAUUUUCUCUUCAUUCUAGUUUGUUGAAGAGGACUGUUAUUUUAGGUUGUCACAAAGAGCCCAAAGACAUGCUGUGAAAAUACUGACUAAAAUGGAUCCUUAGUAGAAAAUGCCUAUUUUGAACAAGUUACAUAUGUGUAUGAAACUGAAGCCUCUAAUUUGUAACUCAUAGCAGUGGUUCUUUGUGGGGGAUGGGGGAGGUAGUUAAGACACGGUUUUUCUGUGUAACAGACCUGGCUCUCCUAGAACUCAUUCUGUGGACCAGGCUGGCCUCGAACUCUCACAGAUAUGCCUACCUCUGCCUUCAGAGUUCAGGGAUUAAAGGUGUGCACCACUGCGCCUGGCAGUGGUUUUAUUAAGCUAAAGUCAUCACCAGGUAAAUAAAUAUGUUUUGAAAUGUUUUACUGUGUGUGUGUGUGUGUGUGUGUGUGUGUGUGUGUGUGUGUGUGUGUGCGCGCGCGCGUGGUUAUUGUAUUUGUGGAAGUCAGGGGACAAUGGCAGGAAUUCAUUCUCUCAAAAGGAAUUGGGCCAUACCUCUUCGACUGCACUGGAUCCAACUUACUCUGUUUCAACUGACACUCCAACCAGAGCCUCGAGUACUGACUUCAAUGAAGUUGAGGAUUUCAACCUAGAUCUUCAAUCAAGCAAAUCCCACCUAACAUGGACUGGAGAUAACCCAUUAGAGACUUUCCCUAUACUAACAUUUUUUUUCCCCCACAGGACCCCACAAGGCUACCAUCAUCCCAUUUCAGCAGGAAAUUCCAGGAAUUGAACUCAGGUUACUGGACUUGCUUGACAAGCAUUGUGCCCCACAAGUCAUCUUACCCCUUCUUGGCUUUCACUUCAUUCUUCGAUGAUGAUGAUGAUGUGUGUAUGCACUCGCUAUCCACAUUUGAAGGUCUGAGGAGCACUUUGAAGAGUUGGUUCUCUCAUCCUGUCUUUACAUGGAUUCCAGGGAUUGAACUCUGAUUGUAAAGUCUACAUAGCAAGGACUUUACCUGCUAAGUUGUCUCACACCCCCAGCCUAUUCUUUUUUGUUUGUUUGUUUUUGUUUUUUCACAACAGGGUUUCUCUGUGUAGUCCUAGCUGUUCAGGAACUCACUCUAUAGACCAGGCUAGCCUUGAACUCACAGAGAUCCACUUGCCUCUGCCUCCCAAGUACUGGUAUUAAAGAUGUGCUGCCCUAGUCUAUUCUUAAUGUAAAGCCAGGUCAUGGUUAGAAAAUGACACAGGGCAGCUACUCUAUUGCCUAGUUUCCUCAUCUUCUCUAUAGACACAAGGUCUAUUAACUCUGUGCUUUCAGGGUUUUUUCUGUAGGUUUUUUUGUUUGUUUGUUUGUCAAUUACCUUCAUGCUCUACAUAACAUGUCCUAGUUCUUGAUUUUUCAGUUUUCCAUAUUUUCUAUAGAUUGUGCUGAGGUACUUAGUUGACCCUGUUAACUUUACAUUCAUCCAUUUUUCCCUUCCUUCUGUCCUUGCAGCUACAGUCCCCAGAGAGUUUGUAUCUAUUUACCAUUAAAUGAUAUGUUAAAAACCUGUUUAUUUAUUUUACAGUCUCAUUAUGUAGCACUAGUUGGCCUAGAACUCAAGGUCCUCCUGCCUCCGCCUCCCAAGUAAUGGAAUCACAAGUGUAUACUACCACACCUGGCUAUAUAUCUUGUCCCAUCAACUGUAUAAAGCAAUUCUUGAUCAUCCAUGCUGUAGGGCUAGGGUUUUAUUAGCAUUCCUGGCCUUCACUCUACAUCUCCUCCCUUCUUUGUCCCUCCUAGUCCAUUUUGUUAAGAC